GAUCGAGUGGCGAACGGGUGAGUAACGCGUGGGUAACCUGCCUUAUACAGGGGGAUAACAGUUGGAAACGACUGCUAAUACCGCAUAAGCGCACAGGACCGCAUGGUCCGGUGUGAAAAACUCCGGUGGUAUAGGAUGGACCCGCGUUGGAUUAGCCAGUUGGCAGGGUAACGGCCUACCAAAGCGACGAUCCAUAGCCGGCCUGAGAGGGUGAACGGCCACAUUGGGACUGAGACACGGCCCAAACUCC
rnacentral:rRNA from 1 species